rnacentral:rRNA from 1 species
CCCUGUCGGACGGAACUCCUUUGACAGAAUUCUUCGGAAGGAAGUUGAUUAAGUUUAGUGGCGGACGGGUGAGUAACGCGUGAGUAACCUGCCUUUGAGAGGGGAAUAACUUCCCGAAAGGGAUGCUAAUACCGCAUGACGCAUAUUUAUCGCAUGGUAGAUAUGCCAAAGAUUUAUCGCUCAAAGAUGGACUCGCGUCCGAUUAGCCAGUUGGCGGGGUAACGGCCCACCAAAGCGACGAUCGGUAGCCGGACUGAGAGGUUGAACGGCCACAUUGGGACUGAGACACGGCCCAGACUCCUACGGGAGGCAGCAGUGGGGGAUAUUGCGCAAUGGGGGAAACCCUGACGCAGCAACGCCGCGUGAAGGAUGAAGGUUUUCGGAUUGUAAACUUCUUUUAUUUAGGACGAAUUAUGACGGUACUAAAUGAAUAAGCUCCGGCUAACUACGUGCCAGCAGCCGCGGUAAUACGUAGGGAGCAAGCGUUAUCCGGAUUUACUGGGUGUAAAGGGUGCGUAGGCGGCUUGGUAAGUCAGAUGUGAAAUGUAUGGGCUCAACCCAUGCACUGCAUUUGAAACUAUUGAGCUUGAGUGAAGUAGAGGUAGGCGGAAUUCCCUGUGUAGCGGUGAAAUGCGUAGAGAUAGGGAGGAACACCAGUGGCGAAGGCGGCCUACUGGGCUUUAACUGACGCUGAGGCACGAAAGCGUGGGUAGCAAACAGGAUUAGAUACCCUGGUAGUCCACGCUGUAAACGAUGAUUACUAGGUGUGGGGGGUCUGACCCCUUCCGUGCCGGA